rnacentral:rRNA from 1 species
CUUACACAUGCAAGUCGAACGGUAACGGAGAGAGCUUGCUCUCUGCCGACGAGUGGCAAACGGGUGAGUAACGCGUAGGAAUUUCCGUUAAGUAGAGGAUAGCCAAUCGAAAGAUUGGGUAAUACUCUAUGUGAUCGCAAGAUCAAAGGCUUCGGCCGCUUAACGCAAAGCCUGCGUCCCAUCAGCUUGUUGGUAAGGUAAUGGCUUACCAAUGCUAAGACGGGUAGCUGGUCUGAGAGGAUGAUCAGCCACACUGGAACUGCGACACGGUCCAGACACCUACGGGUGGCAGCAGUGGGGAAUUUUCGGCAAUGGGCGAAAGCCUGACCGAGCUAUGCCGCGUGCAGGAUGACGGCCUUACAGGUUGUAAACUGCUUUUGUUGUCUACUAAUUUUGAAGAGACUUCGAAUAAGAGGUUGCUAACUCUGUGCCAGCAGCAGCGGUAAUACAGAGACCUCAAGCGUUAUCCGGUUUUAUUGGGCGUAAAGCGUUCCGAAGGCGGUUAUUCAAGUCUAUGGUUAAAAACCGGAGCUCAACUCCGUGUAUGCUAUGGAUACUGAAUAACUUGAAGGGCAAAGAGGUGGCUGGAACUCUGCAAGUAGGGGUGAAAUCCGUUGAUAUGCAGGGGAACACCAAAAGCGAAUGCAGGCCACUGGGUGCCUCUUGACGCUGCUAGGACGAAAGCGUGGGGAGAGAAUGGGAUUAGAUACCCCAGUAUUCCACGCCCUAAACGAUGAGUGCUUGCUAUUAGACAGCUCAACCCUGUUUAGUGGCGAAGCUAACGCAUUAAGCACUCCGCCUGUAUAGUACGAGCGCAAGCUUAAAACAUAAAGGAAUUGACGGGAACCCGCACAAGCAGUGGAUCAUGUGGCUUAAUUCGAUAGCGAGCGAGGAACCUCACCUAGGCUUGACAUGUAGAUGCAAAUCUUCUGAAAGGAAGACUCCUUCGAGGGUUCUACACAGGUGAUGCACGGUCGUCGUCAGCUCGUGUCGUGAGAUGUUCGGUUAAGUCCGGUAACGAGCGCAACCCCAAUCCUUAUUUAUUUAAUGUAUAAGGAGACAGCCUGAGUUUAAUCAGGAGGAAGGCUGGGAUGACGUCAGAUCUGCGUGUCCCUUAUGUCUAGGGCGGCACACAUGAUACAAUGGGUAGAGUACAACGGGACAGCGACAGAGUGAUCUUGAGCAAAUCCUAUCAAAACUCCCCUCAGUUCGGAUCGAAGUCUGCAACUCGACUUCGUGAAGCUGGAAUUGCUAGUAAUCGCGGGUCAGCCUCACCGCGGUGUAUCGUUCUCGGGUUUUGUACACACUGCCCGUCAAGGCCUGGGAAUUGGAAGGGCCCCAA